UGGUUGGGGCAGAGAGAGCUCAGAUGAACAGGUUGUGCAUCCAGAUCAUUCUUGCUGCUCCGCUACUGUUUCCUUUCGUCUGACUUCUUCUCCCCCAUGACAAGACAAACCAUCCAGUCGAAUCAUACUCUGUAAGAGGGAUGCGCUGUCCUGCCUCUAUUUUUAUCAAGAUGCCAGGCCCCACAUGCGCGGGACCCCAGCAGCCUCAUUUGCAAAAUUAUGCUUAAAUCAGGCGAGCGAAGCCGUUAUUUCAAUCCUGGCGGUGGCGGAAGAUGAUUUAAGCAUUACCAGUUAACUAACUAACCCUGCCCAGGCCAGCGGCCUGUUGGCGGGCAUGGGCAACAACCAU
rnacentral:sRNA from 2 species